rnacentral:rRNA from 1 species
UACGAAGGGUGCAAGCGUUACUCGGAAUUACUGGGCGUAAAGCGUGCGUAGGUGGUUCGUUAAGUCUGAUGUGAAAGCCCUGGGCUCAACCUGGGAAUUGCAUUGGAUACUGGCGGGCUAGAGUACGGUAGAGGGUGGCGGAAUUCCUGGUGUAGCAGUGAAAUGCGUAGAUAUCAGGAGGAACAUCCGUGGCGAAGGCGGCCACCUGGACCAGUACUGACACUAAGGCACGAAAGCGUGGGGAGCAAACAGG